GUGGAUGUGCAUGAGAGAGUGUGUAUGUUUCAGUAGGGGUGGGUGGAUGUGCAUGAGAGAGUGUGUAUGUUUCAGUAGGGGUGGGUGGAUGUGCAUGAGAGAGUGUAUGUUUCAGUAGGGGUGGGUGGAUGUGCAUGAGAGAGUGUAUGUUUCAGUAGGGGUGGGUGGAUGUGCAUGAGAGAGUGUAUGUUUCAGUAGGGGUGGGUGGAUGUGCGUGCGCGUGUGCUAUUUCUCUGGUUUAGAGCUUAAUUAUACCAGCCAGGAUGUUGGAGCUGUAAAUCCAACCGUCCGUCACAUACUAAUGACAUCACAGCGUCCUGUCUGCGACAUCACAGGGUCCUUCCUGUCUGUGACAUCACACCGUCCUGUCUGCGACAUCACAGGGUCCUGUCUGCGACAUCACAGGGUCCUGUCUGAGACGUCACAGCGUCCUGUCUGCGACAUCACAGGGUCCUGUCUGUGACAUCACACCGUCCUGUCUGCGACAUCACAGGAUCCUGUCUGUGACGUCACAGCGUCCUGUCUGUGACAUCACAGCGUCCUGUCUGUGGUGAUGAAUCUGGCUGUCUCUCUCUCUUCCUGUUUGUGUGUUUUCCCCCUCCACAUAUAUCUUUGUGAGCAAGCUGUGGUAAUUAAAGGUUUGGGGUUCUGUGAAUGAUAUUGGCUUUGUUUGUUCUUAUUCUUGUUUGUUGUAUUGCCUUUGAAUAAGACAAAAAUCAUUCAAAGGGCCUAUAAAAAAAGUUGUUAUAUCUGUAUUAUCCUAGAAUGUUUAUUUCUGUCUCUGAAUUAGUUUUGAGAAAUAAAAUAAAAAAUAUGGAAGAGACAGGAGAAUAGGUGAUCUCCCACAGUUGUAGAGUCACAUAUGACCAGCAG
rnacentral:lncRNA from 1 species